CCACAAAAAACAAAAAAAAAAAAAGCUCUGCAACAAUAUAUCAUCUCCAAGGAAAAACAUAUCCAUGGUCAGUACUUAGAUAAAAAAUACUAUCCAGUACAUUCAUAAUCAUAAAAAUAAUAAUAAUAAAAAAAAAGUUUUUGCCUCCAGACAUUUAAUCAUUGGAGGGACAAAUUAUGGGCACAGGUAUAUCAAGAAAUUAAUUAUCUCCAGAAAGGAGAAAACUAACCAUUAAUACAUAACCUGUGCAGAUCUAAAAGAAAAAUAAUCAAGAAGAAAAGGAAAGAUUAAUUAAUCAUCUUGAUCAUUUAGCCUUGGAGGUGCAUCGAACUGGUAUGUAAUCUCCACUGGAUCUAUGGAAACUGAGCUGACAAUUCAAAUGGCACUGAAACUUAAUAGACCCAAGAAGCCCGACUCUCCAUCUAGCCCUUACAUUACCUUUCAGAUCAAAUCUAACUUCAUCUUCAUUCAAGAACACAUCUACGUCCUUCAUUUGCUGAGGAUUCAAAGGUAUAGGCGCAGAAGUAGCCAAAAAGUUAAAAUCCACCGAGCUAUUCUUCCUCACCUCGUAGGCUUCCGCCAUCAGUUUUGCUAUCUCUAUGCCGUCAAAAAUGAGCGUCAGCUUCAUGUCCGAAAGGCUAGCAUGGGCUCUAGUGUUGUCGUUUUCCGUCCUGACGACGAUGUUUACUUGCGUUACGAGGACACCAGCUAAGUCGUAUUGGAAGAGGUUCAGGUGAGCACCAACAACACUAAUGAUGGGAAUUCUUGGGUGAUAAACUAAGUAUCCAACGAACACGACGAUACCAGCGAUGAUUACUGCUACAGCGAGGACAGAGCAAACGAGGGCGACGCACCACAACAAGGGGUGGGUUCCUUUGGGGGUGUGGAGUUUGGGGGCUUGGACUUUCUGGCCCUUGUGGUGUGCAUCCAUUGAAGGUGGAAUAAUUGGCAAUAAUCUAGCAGGAGUAGAAAGAACAUUAGGUGAAUUAAUGGGUAGAAGGAUUGGGUUCCUGGAGUCUGAUUGAUGGGGAAGGUUAGGUAUCUUCUUUCCCUUGUUUAAAAGCAUGUGUCAUGUUCAUUUUUUU
rnacentral:misc_RNA from 1 species